AUUAGUAUGUGGCAGUCAGGUUGCUGGAGAUUCUCCGGCGCAGGAAUCCGGUGAGAGACCGGAGCUGACGCGCAGCGGUAUGACUGAUCCACCCGACUCGAGCCACUGGUGCCACUGGUACCGGGAAGGUGUCGGAAAACGGAGAUGAGGUUGAGCCCGAAGACCACCUGACAACGUCCUGUCGG
rnacentral:ncRNA from 2 species